UGUUCUGUAGCUUAGUUGGUUAAAGUGCCGGUCUAGCGUACACGGAGUCGUGAGUUCGAGUCUCACUAGAACGC
rfam:Aedes aegypti strain Liverpool supercont1.55 genomic scaffold, whole genome shotgun sequence.